rnacentral:rRNA from 1 species
GUCGAGCGAAUGAUGAAGAAGCUUGCUUCUUCUGAUUUAGCGGCGGACGGGUGAGUAACACGUGGGCAACCUACCUAGUAGAUUGGGAUAACUCCGGGAAACCGGGGCUAAUACCGAAUAAUCCAUUUUGUCACAUGGCAAAAUGCUGAAAGGCGGUUUCGGCUGUCACUACUAGAUGGGCCCGCGGUGCAUUAGCUAGUUGGUGGGGUAACGGCCUACCAAGGCAACGAUGCAUAGCCGACCUGAGAGGGUGAUCGGCCACAUUGGGACUGAGACACGGCCCAAACUCCUACGGGAGGCAGCAGUAGGGAAUCUUCCACAAUGGACGAAAGUCUGAUGGAGCAACGCCGCGUGAGUGAUGAAGGUUUUCGGAUCGUAAAACUCUGUUGUAAGGGAAGAACAAGUACGUUAGUAACUGAACGUACCUUGACGGUACCUUAUUAGAAAGCCACGGCUAACUACGUGCCAGCAGCCGCGGUAAUACGUAGGUGGCAAGCGUUGUCCGGAUUUAUUGGGCGUAAAGCGCGCGCAGGUGGUUUCUUAAGUCUGAUGUGAAAGCCCACGGCUCAACCGUGGAGGGUCAUUGGAAACUGGGAGACUUGAGUGCAGAAGAGGAAAGUGGAAUUCCAAGUGUAGCGGUGAAAUGCGUAGAGAUUUGGAGGAACACCAGUGGCGAAGGCGACUUUCUGGUCUGUAACUGACACUGAGGCGCGAAAGCGUGGGGGAGCAAACAGGAUUAGAUACCCCUGGUAGUCCACGCCCGUAAACGAUGAGUGCUAAGUGUUAGGGGGGUUUCCGCCCCCUUAGUGCUGCAGCUAACGCAUUAAGCACUCCGCCUGGGGAGUACGGGCCGCAAGGGUUGAAACUCAAAGGAAAUUUGACGGGGGGCCCCG